rnacentral:tRNA from 1 species
GCCCGGGUAGCUUAGUCAGGAAAUAGCGUAGCCCUGCUAAGGCUAAGGUCGGCGGUUCAAAUCCGCCCCCGGGCGCCA